UCCAAACGCGCACGCAAAGGCCAAUGCGCUAAGGCACGUUUUUGGUUCGCAAAAAUGUCGAUCCUCCACGAUCUGCUAGACUUCUCCGAUGUUACACUCGAUUUCGCCAACAAUGAAUCUCGGAGUAAAGUUUUCGAAGUGCUGCGGAAUCACAAAGCAAAGGGGCCGAUCAUUUCUACAGAGCUAGAGGGAGAAAGAGGUUUCAUGUUUGUAUUUGUUGGCCCAAAUAGCGGGCAUUGGACUCUGCGUAGCUUCAAGAAUGGCCAUGCCUGUCUGGAUAUUGUAACUGUUGGAGCAGAGAGUAAUAACAAUGAUUGGUAUAAUAAUAGAUAUGAGGAAAGCAAGGCCAUUAAGGAGUCAUUGGCAAAAGUAUUUGCCACAGAAAAGAGUAGGGCUCUUCCGCCUAUCAUACGCAAAGGACCCUUAAAUCCCUACUUGCCAACAGUUGACAACCUUAUAAUGCAGUAUGAUAUAGAUAGGGAAAUUGUAAAUGUGGACUCUAAGUACCAGAACAUUAAAAUCCUGCAUUCCAACCAGUUUGGAAAUAUGCUAGUGCUUAAUAACGAUAUCAAUUUAGCAGAGAGUGACUUAAGUUAUACCAAAGCUAUCACUGGUAAUGGUAAAGAGAACUACAAGGAUAAAACAGUGCUGAUUCUUGGCGGUGGAGAUGGGGGAAUUUUGCAUCAUGUUCUAAAGGAGGAACCCAAGCAAGUGAUCAUGGCAGAGAUUGACCAGAUGGUAGUGGACCUUGCUGUAAAGCACUUGAGAGGAAUAUGUGGUGAUUCGAUGGAUUCCUUAAUUGGACCAAACUACGAGGUAAUUAUUGGAGACUGCGUUGAGAUCAUGAAUAAAUGCAUCAAUAAAGGAAAAUUAUUUGAUUAUGUUAUCAACGACCUGACAGCCAUCCCGAUAACUACUGAGGCUAGAGGCGACCAAUGGGACUUUCUGCAACUAAUCUUGGACCUAUCUAUGAAGGUUCUCUCUCCAACGGGGAAAUAUUUCACGCAGGGCAAUAGUUUUAAUGAGCUUGACUCCCUGACAAUGUUUGAGGGUCAACUGAAGAAGCUAGAGUGUCCGGUGGAGUUUACCAAAGAGACUGUGUGUGUUCCAUCAUACCACGAACUAUGGGUCUUCUAUGAGAUCUGGAAAACCAACAAGUCUUAACAACAAGAGAGAAACACAUCUUAGUUGCUAUCAAAAAAAUCAUUCAAAUUGAUCUGUGUAAAUGUGAAUAUUGUACAAAUGUGUGGGAACACCAAUAGGCAAUGACAUCACAGAAAGGUGGCGCUGGAAAUGCCUCAGGACUUGACAUUGGUCUACAGGCACAAAAUGUUGAUGGCUCAAACCUGCCAAAGCGUCACCUAAAUACCACAGGAGCCCGGUAUCUGGUUAAUAGCCCAUUGCAGACUGAUCAUGCUUUCUGUAAAUAAUUAAAUUUGCUAAACUAAGCUUUGUUGAGUAAGUUACAAGUUUCAAUUGAUCCAGUGUUUAUAUCUCAGUAUACGAUCAGUGGUUCCUUGUCUGAGCAUGCGCAUGCAAUUAAACAUGACACGCCGCAGCAUUUCCAUAUCCCAGGUGCUGCUUCCAGCGGUCAUCAUAUGGAUCCCUAAACCAGAUACUGAAAAAAAUAAUAAUAAAAAGUAAUAAUUCUUUUACUGUUUUAGAUUAAAAUAACUAACCCAAAUACCAAAGAAAGGAAAUGUUUGCU